UACGUAGGGCGCAAGCGUUGUUCGGAAUUACUGGGCGUAAAGGGCGCGUAGGCGGCCUUCUAAGUCGGACGUGAAAGCCCCAGGCUUAACCUGGGAACUGCGUCCGAUACUGGGAGGCUUGGAUUCGGGAGAGGGAUGUGGAAUUCCAGGUGUAGCGGUGAAAUGCGUAGAUAUCUGGAGGAACACCGGUGGCGAAGGCGGCAUCCUGGACCGAGAUCGACGCUGAGGCGCGAAAGCUAGGGGAGCAAACGGG
rnacentral:rRNA from 1 species